AAACUUCAGCUUAUCUAUUUAUUUUUGUUUAAUUAUUAGAUUUAGUGAAAAUAAUCUUGAUUGUUUUUUGAAAAGUAUUUAAUAAAGAAAUUUUAAAAAGGUGAUAAAUAAAAAGUACUGUAAAGGAAAGGUGAAAUAUUUGAAAAUUUAAUUGAAAGAAAGUAUAAUUUAAAGUUAGUACCUUGUGUUUCAGGGGAUUUAAAUAUUUAUUUUUUUAUGUAAGAAUUCCCGAAGUUUAGUGAGCUAGUUUAUAAUGAUAGUUAACGUAGUAUAGUUAUUAUUAAUUAUUUACUAGAAAUGAAAUUUUAUACGCACUAAUAAGUAUCUGGUUUUUUGAUAAAUAAAUUUAAUUUAGUUUUUAAAUUAAUAUUUUAUUAAAAAAUAAAAAUAGGAGGGAAAAGCUUCUUGUUUUAUAAUAAAUUUAUUAUAAAAGAUUAAUUUUUUUUGUUUAACUAGGCUUAAAAUCAGUCAAGUUUUAAAAUCGUUAUAGAUUAUGUAGUUAAGUUUUAAUAUUUAAUUAUCUUUUUAAUAUUUUUAUCAAAAAUUAUAAUGUAAUUAAACUAUUAUAGUUAUAAUUAAAUUAUUAGUAUAAAUAAUUGUUAUUAUUAAAUAUACAACAAGGUUAGAUUGUUAAUAUUUAUUUAAUGUAAUAUUUUGUAUUAAGGAACUCGGCAAUUAUUCUUUCUGCCUGUUUAUCAAAAACAUGUCCAUAUGUUAAGGUUUAUAUGGUCUGGCCUGCCCACUGAUAUUUUAAUUAAAGGGCCGCGGUAUUUUGACCGUGCGAAGGUAGCAUAAUAAUUAGUCUCCUAAUUAGAGGCUUGUAUGAAUGGUCGGACAAGAUGGAAACUGUCUCAAUACAAUAAAUAAAAUUUAAUAUUUAAGUAAAAAAGCUUAAAUAAUAUGGAGGGACGAUAAGACCCUAUAAAGCUUUAUAUUAUAUUUCUUUAAUAUAAAUUGUAAUGUUAUUAACUUAUUUUAGAAAAUAUAUUAUUUUACUGGGGCGGUAAAAGUAUAUUAAAGAUUAACUGCUUUUGUUUUGUAUAACAAUUAUAGUUGAAAAUAAAAUGAUCCAUUAUUAAUGAUCAUAAAACCAAGUUACUUUAGGGGUAACAGCGUAAUUUUUUUUGAGAGUUCUUAUCGAAAAAAAAGUUUGCGACCUCGAUGUUGAAUUAAGGUUACCUUAAGGUGCAGUAGUUUUAAUAGGCAGAUCUGUUCGAUCUUUAAAUCCUUACAUGAUUUGAGUUCAGACCGGCGUAAGCCAGGUUGGUUUCUAUCUUCCAUGAAAAUUUCACUUACUUUAGUACGAAAGGAUUUGGUAAGUCAAAUAUUUUGUUAUUAGUUGAUUUUUAUUAACUG
rnacentral:rRNA from 1 species